GCUGGACUUUCUGUCAGAAAGCAGGCUGUUACUGGCUGGGAAUCUGCUGGACUUUCUGUCAGAAAGCAGGCUGUUACUGCUGGAAUCUGCUGGACUUUCUGUCAGGCAGCAGGCUGUUACUGCUGGAAUCUGCUGGACUUUCUGUCAGACAGCAGGCAGUUACUGCUGGAAUCUGCUGGACUUUCUGUCAGGCAGCAGACUGUUACUGCUGGAAUCUGCUGGACAUUCUGUCAGGCAGCAGGCUGUUACUGCUGGACUUUCUGUCAGGCAGCAGGCUGUUACUGUUGGAAUCUGCUGGACUUUCUGUCAGGCAGCAGGCAGUUACUUCUGGAAUCUGCUGGACUUUCUGUCAGGCAGCAUGCUGUUACUGCUGGAAUCUGCUGGACUUUCUGUCAGGCAGCAGGCUGUUACUGCUGGACUUUCUGUCAGACAGCAGGCUGUUACUGCUGGACUUUCUGUCAGGCAGCAAGCAGUUACUGCUGGAAUCUGCUGGACUUCUGUCAGACAGCAGGCUGUUACUGCUGGAAUCUGCUGGACUUUCUGUCAGGCAGCAGGCUGUUACUGCUGGAAUCUGCUGGACUUUCUGUCAGGAGC
rnacentral:lncRNA from 1 species